rnacentral:rRNA from 1 species
CCUACGGGAGACAGCAGUGGGGAAUAUUGGGCAAUGGGCGCAAGCCUGACCCAGCAACGCCGCGUGAAGGAAGAAGGCUUUCGGGUUGUAAACUUCUUUUCUCAGGGACGAAGCAAGUGACGGUACCUGAGGAAUAAGCCACGGCUAACUACGUGCCAGCAGCCGCGGUAAUACGUAGGUGGCAAGCGUUAUCCGGGUUUACUGGGUGUAAAGGGCGGGUAGGCGGGAAAGCAAGUCAGAUGUGAAAACCAUGGGCUCAACCUGUGGCCUGCAUUUGAAACUGUUUUUCUUGAGUACUGGAGAGGCAGACGGAAUUCCUAGUGUAGCGGUGAAAUGCGUAGAUAUUAGGAGGAACACCAGUGGCGAAGGCGGUCUGCUGGACAGCAACUGACGCUGAGGCGCGAAAGCGUGGGGAGCAAACAGGAUUAGAUACCCGGGUAGUC